CCUUGACCUCAAAUCGGGUGAGACUACCCGCUGAACUUAAGCAUAUCAAUAAGCGGAGGAAAAGAACUAACAAGGAUUCCCCUAGUAACUGCGAGUGAAGCGGGAAAAGCUCAAUUUAAAUCUGGCGGUCUUUGGCUGUCCGAGUUGUAAUUUA
rnacentral:rRNA from 1 species